rnacentral:rRNA from 1 species
GUGGGGAAUAUUGGACAAUGUGGGGAACCCUGAUCCAGCCAUGCCGCGUGUGUGAAGAAGGCCUUUUGGUUGUAAAGCACUUUAAGCGAGGAGGAGGCUACCGAGAUUAAUACUCUUGGAUAGUGGACGUUACUCGCAGAAUAAGCACCGGCUAACUCUGUGCCAGCAGCCGCGGUAAUACAGAGGGUGCAAGCGUUAAUCGGAUUUACUGGGCGUAAAGCGCGCGUAGGUGGCCAAUUAAGUCAAAUGUGAAAUCCCCGAGCUUAACUUGGGAAUUGCAUUCGAUACUGGUUGGCUAGAGUAUGGGAGAGGAUGGUAGAAUUCCAGGUGUAGCGGUGAAAUGCGUAGAGAUCUGGAGGAAUACCGAUGGCGAAGGCAGCCAUCUGGCCUAAUACUGACACUGAGGUGCGAAAGCAUGGGGAGCAAACAGGAUUAGAUACCCCAGUAGUCC